CACAGUAAUAAUUGUCAGUGGUUAAAUUAUACUCUAGAAGCAUCAUUGUCCCUCAGUCUCUCAUUCCUAAUAAAAAAAAAGGACGCUUCUCUUCAUCUACUUUUCAUCAUCAUUUGGGUGUCACCACUCACACUAAUUGGUUUCAUAUUAUGUCAAUUUCAGACCAAAUGAGUUCGCAGACUAUAUGAUCUGUCUACCUGCUCAUGGAGCUAUUAUUGGAGUGUGGUUUGAUGCUUGCGCAAUGGCACUUGAUUGGGAGAACCCAUGGCGCGUAUAUAUACUAGGGAGCUAAGGUUAGAGUUUUCAUGUACCCAAGCAACAUAUAAGUGAAUAAUGUGUUACAUGUGGAGGUCGAGGAUUAGGAUAGAAGGGUACGCCCCUCCUUGGGACUCACUAUAAGGGUCUUCCCGCAGGCCAUAUGUGCCAUAUAUUGGAUUGAGUCAGGGGAACUAGUCCAACCGACUCCAAAUACAAAUGAUGCCACAAGGGUAGGUAUGCCACACAUUCAGGUUCGCUAUAGUGGUUUGGUCUCAAUUCUGUGCAUAGAAUUUCGUCGCGCGUGUGCCAAGCCAAACCUAGAAAUACCCUUCUGUCGUUAACUUUUAUCAAAUAGUGCUUCAUAGGCCUAUGCAAGUAUAUAUUACGGCAAAUAUUAUUUAUUUAUUUAAGUAGUGCUUUCAAUAUACAAUUGAUUUAUUUGAUAGUACUAAACUAUUACAACGUUUGUACUUUAUAUCAUUAUAUGACUAUAUCGUUAUGUGAUCUAAUAUAUUAGUACGACUAAAAUAUGGCCAUUUAUUA